rnacentral:rRNA from 1 species
UACAGAGGUCUCAAGCGUUGUUCGGAUUCAUUGGGCGUAAAGGGUGCGUAGGCGGCAGGGUAAGUCGGAUGUGAAAUCCCGGGGCUCAACCUCGGAACUGCAUUCGAUACUGCUUUGCUGGAGUACUGAAGAGGAGAGUGGAAUUUACGGUGUAGCAGUGAAAUGCGUAGAUAUCGUAAGGAAGACCAGUGGCGAAGGCGGAUCUCUGGACAGUUACUGACACUGAGGCACGAAGGCCAGGGGAGCAAACGGG